ensembl:lncRNA
ACACUAAACUGCAAUUGUUGAUUAUGGGCAGUCUACCUCAAGUGAAAGAACCAUCCAGGUCAAAGGAGAGAAGAUGGGCCAGGCCUGGGCUCUUCAUCAACGUAUUUGUUUUGGUAUGUAAUGCUUGUCCUGCAGGCUGUGUAAUGGCUCUAAUAAAAUGUCUUUCUAACUGUAUAGCAUGCCUGAGUUGUCUGCCCUGGAGAAUAAUUUGGAUCCUUAUUUGCUGUUGCCCAAUGUGUUUGUAUUGCUAAAUAACAUUGGCCUGUGUAUGCAAGAAGAUGCAAUCUAGUUAGUGUUUCAAAGAAUUUUUUAGAAUGAGUUGGGCAAAGCAGUGUUGGGAUUCCACGCAGGACGGUCCAGCGAAGACAACAGGCUCCUGCCUCAGGUAGUGGUCCUUCUAGAGCUCCUGCGAUAGUGGAAAUUACCAGCAGUCUUGAGUGAACGGACGGUCCAGAGAAGACAACAGGUUCCUGGUUCAGGCUCCCUAGGAGUGGCCAAGCAACUUCAGCCUCCUGUGAAAAUUGCUUGCUGACUUGAGGAUUUGAGUGAUAGUUGAGUCCUUUUCUCCAGUACUGCUGAUGUCAUGCAGGCUGUGCGACAGUCCUAAUACUAUCUUCUGUUUAGAAGGCCGGACUGUUUUAUGUGUUUGCUGACCAUCUGCUUCUAACAUGUACUGAACUACACAGUAAUUUUAAUAUUUGCAGUUUCCCAUCUGUGUGUAAAAAGAUACUAACUUGUCAGUGUUUAAAUAUUUCUGGUUGGGUAAAGUACUGUUGCGCUACCACGCAGGACGCUCCUGCCAACUUAACAAUGUGAGUAACAGGUAAGAAAUUUCCCAGUAGAAUUCAACACUCUACAGGCUUUUCCAGAUCUCGUUGACCAUAUGACAGGAUUUGGCAGAAGGUAAGACUAUUUAUUUUGACAUUUUUUUUAGGGGCUAAGUGUGGGCUAGGGUUAGCGGGGGCUAAGUGUGGGCUAGGGUUAGCGGGGCCUAAGUGAGGGCUAGGG